rnacentral:rRNA from 1 species
UACAGAGGGUGCAAGCGUUAAUCGGAAUUACUGGGCGUAAAGCGUGCGUAGACGGUUACAUAAGUCAGAUGUGAAAGCCCCGGGCUCAACCUGGGAAUUGCAUUUGAGACUGCGUAGCUAGGGUGCGGAAGAGGGAAGCGGAAUUUCCGGUGUAGCGGUGAAAUGCGUAGAUAUCAGGAGGAACACCUGUGGCGAAAGCGGCUCACUGGACCACAACUGACGCUGAGGCGCGAAAGCUAGGGGAGCAAACAGG